ensembl:lncRNA
GCUUAACAGGAGCUGACAGAUAAGGGGUAGGAGGCGUGGAGAAGUCAGCCAGCCUAAGAUUGCAUUUCUUAAUUCUGGACUGUACAGUAUAAUCAGCUUCCUUGAUGGUUCAGAGGCAAAGAAUCCACCUGCAAUGCUAGAGAUCAGGAUUUAAUCCCUGGGCUGGGAAGAUCCCAGAGGAGGAAAUGGCAACCCACUUCAGUAUUCUUCUCUGGAAAAUCCCAUGGCCAGAGGAGCCUGGCAGGCUGCAGUCCACGGGGGCAUGCAAGAGUGGGACACAACUGAGCACGGGAGCACUAGGGCACAGUGUAGUCACUUGAGAAUAUAUUUUAAAUUACUGAUUCAUAGUUCUAUCUUCUCUUCCUUCUUUCCACCUCUAAGAAAUUUCUAUUUGAUUAGUCUGAGAUAGGACCUGGGCAGGACUGUUAAGCAGUAACAAGUCUGGUUUAGUUUAAUUGGCCUAUAAUUGGUCUACGUAAAUGAUCAAGUGAACAUAAAAGUUCUUCUUGUUUCAGCACUAGAUACUCUAUGGUUGACUUGCAUGACGAGAAAAAUUAAAAAAGAAAUCUAAUCUGAGAUUUAUCAAUUGAGUUUCUGUGUAUAUGCUGUUUGUGGAUAUAUUCAAAUGAAUAACUGCUUCUGAAGUAUUGUUUUAUGAUCAUAUAAGGUUCAGAGUACAGGGUCUCCUUUCCUGCUUCUGGUUAAUUCCAUGCUGCACCUGCAGCACUCAAGAACCAGAAACCUCAUUCAUAUGACUGAAACUUCUCUCUGACCCGGGGAUAUUGCCUUGGGUCAUAUAAUCUCUUCUCCCUCUGUGUUUGUAGAAGGGACACAAAGAUAUUUCAAAAUCCUGCCAACACAACUCAGGACCAAGCUUAGACUUUCUCUGGGCCACAAGUGACUGACGUGAAACAUCUUUCUUCUUAAGAUGGUGACUUAUCCAAUAGAUCACUAUAGAAAAUCACCUAUGACGAAUGGAAAUCAUAAAGAGGGAUUGGGGGCAGGAGGAGAAGGGGAUGACAGAGGAUGAGAUGGCUGGAUGGCAUCACCAACUGGAUGCACAAUUUCCCCCCAGAGUAAAUGACAUAGACACUUUCCCUGCAAUUCAACUACUCUACCUCUUAGUGACGUUCUUUAUUAUUGGAGUAUCCUGGAGGGAAUAUCACAAAAAUGAAAACAUGAAGAAAGAAAAAGGUAUGUUACCUUCAUCCAUGUACAAAGAUUUGACUAAUAACCUAAUUGAUUCUAAUUCUUAAUUCAUUUGUAAGUUGUAUAAAUUUAUUGGAAAUAAAUGAGCUUAUCUAAUCUUUUAUUAAGAGAAAGAAGUAAAAGGACAAUUUAUCUCCUCCCAAAUGGAAAAUAAAUAAUUGAAGAAAAGUCAGACCUGAUUUAUAUAAAAGCUAUGUUCUUGGUACAUUGGCAUUAUGUAAAAUGGAAUUUUGUCCAUAAAAGAAUUACUAUUCAUUUCUCUGUAAUUUUAUUUGUGAAU